UACGGAGGAUGCAAGCGUUAUCCGGAAUGAUUGGGCGUAAAGCGUCCGCAGGUGGCUGUGUAAGUCUGCUGUCAAAGAGCGAAGCUCAACUUCGUAAAGGCAGUGGAAACUACACGGCUAGAGUGCGUUCGGGGCAGAGGGAAUUCCUGGUGUAGCGGUGGAAUGCGCAGAUAUCGGGAGGAACACCCGUGGCGAAGGCGGGUCCCUGGGACGGUACUGACGCUGAGACGCGAAAGCGUGGGGAGCAAACAGG
rnacentral:rRNA from 1 species